rnacentral:rRNA from 1 species
AUACGUAGGGGGCAAGCGUUAUCCGGAAUCAUUGGGCGUAAAGAGUGCGUAGGUGGUUUCUUAAGCGUGGGGUUUAAGGCUACGGCUUAACCGUAGUUCGCCCAAUGAACUGGGAGACUUGAGUGCAGGAGGGGAAAGUGGAAUUCCUAGUGUAGCGGUGAAAUGCGUAGAUAUUAGGAGGCACACCAGUGGCGAAGUCGCUUUCCUGGACUGUAACUGUCACUGACGCACUAAGGCGACGCAAGCAAACAGGAUUAUAUCCCCUUGUACACCACGACGUAAACGAUUAGCACUAGGUGUCAGGGAAACAAUCCCCGGUGCCUCAGUUAACGCAUUAACUACUCCGCCUGGGGCGUCCGCUCGCAAGAAUAAAACUCAAAUGAAUUGACGGGC